rnacentral:rRNA from 1 species
UAGGGAAUAUUGGACAAUGGGCGAAAGCCUGAUCCAGCAAUGCCGCGUGAGUGAUGAAGGCCUUAGGGUUGUAAAGCUCUUUUACCCGGGAUGAUAAUGACAGUACCGGGAGAAUAAGCUCCGGCUAACUCCGUGCCAGCAGCCGCGGUAAUACGGAGGGAGCUAGCGUUGUUCGGAAUUACUGGGCGUAAAGCGCACGUAGGCGGCUAUUCAAGUCAGAGGUGAAAGCCCGGGGCUCAACCCCGGAACUGCCUUUGAAACUAGAUAGCUUGAAUCCAGGAGAGGUGAGUGGAAUUCCGAGUGUAGAGGUGAAAUUCGUAGAUAUUCGGAAGAACACCAGUGGCGAAGGCGGCUCACUGGACUGGUAUUGACGCUGAGGUGCGAAAGCGUGGGGAGCAAACAGGAUUAGAUACCCCCGUAGUCC